CUGACACGCUAGUUGGGGAGUUUGAUGAAGCUAUAGAUUUUAGCGGAACUGAUGCAAUAGUGAAACGGGAGGGAGGAAGGAGAGCUUAUAGGUUUGGCCAUGAGGGUUUUAAUUCAGGACAUAGUUUGGGAAAUAUCUUGAAGACAUUGUCCUGCUUGGCCGACAAUUGUACUUGAUUUAGAAAGAAAAGCUCCUCAAUUAUUGUGUUGCUAGAACAGUAUGUGUCAUGUUCUUUGGCUACUUUGGAAAUGGCACCGAAGGGAUAAUGCAUGGAUUAAACGUGGGAUGCUAUUUCCAUUGAUUGAACAUGUAGACAGGUUGCAGGGGCAGACUGGGCUAACGAUAGCACACCUAUUGAUCUUCACUCUACAAUAGAAGAGGCGUUUUUUUGAUGAAAAUGGUGUUAUUGAGAUGUUGAUGGUUGAAAUAAUUGCCAAAGCUGGUAAUCUCGACCAUCUCCGGUCUCUUCUCCGAGGAGUAUUCGAGGCUUGUGAUUCAAAUCAGGACCAAGAUUGUAACUCCCCAAGCCAGGCACGUUUAUGUUGAGUAAAUAUUGAAUAAAUAAUUUUGGUCUUCGUGGAAUAAAUAUCUGUGUGGAUGAGGAACAUAUCUGAGACAUGUGAUUUUCAAAUUCAA